UGGAGACUGGAGAAAUUCACCGGUGUUUUGGAAUAGGUCAUAUUUUCUGUAACUUUCAUUCUGGUCUGUUUUCUUCCUGUCAUCAUCUCCUUGGUCUCAAAAAAGACUACCUGACUUGUUUAUGAAAACCUGAUGACAGAAUUUGGACAAACAGGAACAGGACAACAUGGAGAUAUUUUUCAAUUCGAAAUUAUUGCCUCUCCAGGUAGUUAAAUUGCUGCACAACCACCUGCAGUCCCAGGGAACCCGGACUAGCACUUAGUCACAGGGGAAGAAGCCCUGCUCGCAAAAGACUCACUGAUUUGAACAGGAGCUGAAAACCUUGGGAGAAAAAUCCUCCUCCCUCUAACCACAGUCACAGUAGUAGAACUUCAGGUCAAGGAAGGUCAUGCACUGCAGCCAUUCCUGAAGGGCAGCAGAGGGAGGGCACUGGCCACCACUCCACCGGAGCCUGGCUGGGGGCUGUCUCAGCCCUUCCGCACCACUGGGGUGGCAUGAGUAGGAUGCCAGUAGAUGUCUUGCAAGCUCUGCAGGAUGCUAAGCUCAAUACCAGCUGUCAGAAAUGCCUUCCAAGGCCUUUGGUCAAACAACAGGGGGUCUUAGGAGGUGUUAAAAGUAUUGGCCAGCCUUCUAACCUAGGGUUAUGGAACAGCAUCUCAGAAAAAAAAACACUCCAGUCCUGUUUUUUGGACUCCAGGAAAACUAGGAAAUGAAGCUGUGGCUUGGAUUUAGUAGUUGGUCAUGCCAUUUGCACAUGCAAAACACUGAAGAAAGAACCACAAUGAAAAUGAAACCAGAAAACUGUAAAGGCAAGGCCUUUCAGUACAAAUUUUGACUCCAGGUUGCCAAAUGAAGGUAUGAAAAUGUAACAACUACACAACUUGAAUCAUUUUUCUAUCUUCAGUUCCUGAAAAUUCAAGCUGGCCGUCAAACCUCACCUAA